rnacentral:rRNA from 1 species
GAUGAACGCUAGCGGGAGGCUUAACACAUGCAAGUCGAGGGGCAGCAUAGGGUAGCAAUACUCUGAUGGCGACCGGCAAACGGGUGAGUAACGCGUAUGCAACCUACCCUGUACAGGGGGAUAACCCGGAGAAAUUCGGACUAAUAUCCCGUAAUAAUAUCCGGAGGCAUCUUUGGAUAUUUAAAGUUUCGACGGUACGGGAUGGGCAUGCGUAACAUUAGCUGGUUGGUAAGGUAACGGCUUACCAAGGCUACGAUGUUUAGGGGUCCUGAGAGGGUGGUCCCCCACACUGGUACUGAGACACGGACCAGACUCCUACGGGAGGCAGCAGUGAGGAAUAUUGGUCAAUGGGCGCAAGCCUGAACCAGCCAUCCCGCGUGCAGGAAGACGGCCCUAUGGGUUGUAAACUGCUUUUCCAGGGAGAGAAACUUACGCACGUGUUGCGUGACUGACGGUACCCUGGGAAUAAGCAUCGGCUAACUCCGUG